rnacentral:lncRNA from 1 species
AGAUAAAUGUCACAAAUAUCAUAAAUGUCAUUAUUACAUAGUGGAAGUCUUACAAAAAUAAAUGAUAAUAAUAAAGCGAACUAAGUAUUAUUCCGUAGCGCCACAAAGUUGACUGGGAGACGCCACCUAGAUCAACUCGUACUCCUCAUUGUAUGGCUCCUCCUGGACCACAUGUUCUUCUCCUGUGGGGGUGGGUUAUAUAUCACAAGGGUGAGCUCACAAAAGAUAAUAGCUCAACAAGUUGUGGGGAAUAAUGUGCAUGAACUCACCAAAGGUGGGAGUUCAUGUGAAGUGUAAGGUUGACCAAUAAAUAAGAGUUAAAGCGGAGCAUUGCUUUUAAUAAGUUGGUCAAGUUUUAUUAGAAGUUACUAAAUGUAAGUAGAUACCAAACCAGAGUAAUAGUAGAUCAAAAUUAAUAAUAAAUCCCAAUGCGAUGCAAAUGACAAAUUCAAAUUAAUUCCAUAAAUUAAUCAUGCAAGAGUCUUGAGCAGCUCAUGACCGCGAGCACGGCUAGUAUACUCGUUUUACACUCUGCAGAGGUUGUACCCUAUACCCACAAGUCAUGUAUCCCAUCUAGCCAGGGUUAGCUAGACCCAUAGACACUACCGAGGUGAAUGGCUAGGGAUCCACUACGAGGCCUUUACAAAGUUCCACUAGCUUCAGUAAACCUGCUACAGUUUCUAGGAAGAGCAAUGGAGGAAUCCCCCGUCUAACCGCCAUCGCAGCAAAAUCAACUCGAGAACCUCCCUACACGCCUACUCCCCUACUGCUCUUGCCCUUUCGGGUAAGGUAGUCCUCCACUAGCUUUCCUAGUUAGUCAGCCAAGGGUGUCCCAUUCCACCCUUGUUGUGGCACGUGUUUCUCAAGUUAAGCUCGAUGUUCCAGUUAACAUAGUGGUAUUAUCAUGAAAAGAAAUAAAACAGUAAUAAAGAAUGGUCAUGUAUAAUAGUUAUCUCAACACCCAAAACCAUAUAUAGCAAUAAAAAAGACUACCCAAAAGUUCAGGGGUAAACAAGGUGAAAAGAUAACUAGACUAGGGUGACCUAUUGGGUCCCAUAAAAAUUAAGACUAUGCAUGAUAAAAUGAUUAUAUAGAACAUUAUUGGGUAAAUAAAAGUGGUCAAGGGCACAACUUUCCUUCAAUGAGCUCCUGCUCAACAACUUCUACCUGUUGAACACCUCGAUCCUCGGCCACUGGCUCGUCUAGUCGCCAUAAUAUAAACAAACAUGGUACAAGGGAGAAAAUAACAUCACACCAAACAUGAAUUCAGAAUACAUAAUAAUAAUAUACGCAUCGAAACGAUAUCGUAGGAACAAGAAUCACUAAAUUCGGAGUUACGGAUUUUAUGUUAUGAUUUUCCGAAGUUUUUGUGUAUUUGUUACAAAAUUAACUAAGUGAUCAAUUUUAAUAUGGGUAUCAUGCUAAAACAGAGAUACUAAAUGGUAAACGAUAUUAAUACCAAAUUAUAGAAAUUGGAAUGGACUAAAAAGAAGUUAAAAUGAAUUUUCUCGGAAUUAAACAAGUUUCUACAAUUGUUUUAGUACCAAAAACCCUUUUUAUAUUUUAUAUUUCAUUUAACAACACCCUGGACUGCGCACAGGAUUACUGAAGAAUAUAUGGGCUACAUCAUAAAAAUUCUUAAGACUCAGAUUCAAUCUGUGUGGGACUGCGGGUUGUUUAUCAAUAAAUCCAGGGACUCUUUUGUAAAGCCACCGACCAAAGAGGUAUCCAGGAACCCCAGACGUCAGAUUAGAAAUCAACGGUGCCGAUUAGAUCGAUUACAUAAACGGAUCAUUAUGCAGUGCCGAUGGUCCGAUCCAAAAUCUAUGCUCCAUAUUUCCCCGUGUCCAGAUCUAGUAUGAUUCUCACGAUCUCCAACCAACAACCACGAUUCACUGGCCGCCAAUUGGUAACCCAUAGCUAAUCUCGACCGUCGACUAUGGAUCAGACGGUGUGCGGUCUAUCUCCCUCAUCUGACCGCGACCGGCGGUGGUGGCGCCCUGGAGGUCAAAUCGUGCCGGCGAACUCUUCCUGCCCGGUGAUUCAGAGCACCAUACUUCGAUUCUACUAGCGCUAAAUGAAGAGGACGACCGCACGAACACGGAGGACGUAUACUCACCGACGGUUAUGGCGUCGAGUCUCCUGGCGACGAUGUGGUGCGGCUUGAGCGCCAACCAAGACUUCAGUGAGGAAUUCCCGGUGAUGUAGGGGCCAAUCCCGCCGACUAUGUUGUGGAGGCCUUUCCCCUCGGUCUGUAGAUGGCUCCGGACUCCACACACGGCGCGGAUGGCGGCUCGGUGAAAAGUUCCUCCGCAGCGGCACCACACUUCCUCUCCCUCUCUGGUUUGCGACGUGGCCAGGGUUUCCAAGGUUCAGGAUGGUGCGGACGGGUCCCAGGGGCGCUAAAUAUGGACAUGAGUGGUGGCCGAGGAGUCCGGAAGGUGGAUGGCUAACUGGUCGGUCCUGGGGAAAUUGCAACGAUGGUUGCGCGCGGGGAAGAAGUACAGUGGAGGGGGGCCACC